GAGGAAAGUCCGGGCUCCGCAGGGCAGUGUGGUUCCUAACGGGAACCGGGAGUAAUCCCAGGGAAAGUGCCACAGAAAACAUACCGCCGCAAGGAAGGCGACUUCGUUGCGGUAAGGGUGAAAAGGUGCGGUAAGAGCGCACCGCUUCUCUGGUGACAGGGAAGGCAGGGUAAACCCCACACGGAGCAAGAUCAAAUAAGGAGGCCCCAAAGCGGCCCGCUUUGCUUCCGGAAACGGAAGCGGGCUUCCGGGUAGAUCGCCAGAGGAGCCUGGCGACAGGCUUCCCAGAGGAAUGGCCAUCCGUUCGUUAGCAACCUUACGGCUACUAAUGGAUGUACAGAACCCGGCUUA
rnacentral:RNase_P_RNA from 1 species